UUUGGAAUUUCUUAAAAAACAAUGUCUAUACCCUCCACCAUAGGAGGGUAGGAGCGAAGUUAUUGUUGAUCAAUUCGACUAUUUUAUUUGAAGUCUUCAUCAGGCUGCUGCUUUCCCACAUCGUGUAAAUGCUUGAGUUAAAUGAAAUGAAUUUCUAGUUGUGCCAUCUGGAUUGAUUGAAAGAAACUAAAACGGUUUGCCAAAGAUUUAGUGGGUGAAAAAAUUAACACUGAACCAAGCUAUUUUUGGGGAACUGUUUAGAGGCCUGCUCUACUCACCUCCACGUAUUUUUCACAAACAUUUAAGUAAAUUUGUACUAUUUACAAAACACCACGGCGAGACUUGUUGCGGCAACCAAGAAAACUAGAAAAUACUCUUUAAAAAAAGUGAUUUAAGCAACAAACAAAUGAUUGCGAAGGCAUGGAAGAGCAUAGCGUAUGAGAAGUGAAUCCAAAUCACCUGUUGGCUAUUCCCAAGAUGAUUGCACAAAUGACUGAAUUUUUUAAUUAAAUCUGAAUGCCUAUUUUAUUAUUGUUGUAUUGCAGGCAGUUACAAAAUCUAAUAUCAGCUGAAAUGCAAAAAGCGUUAAAACUA